CAUGCUUCCAGCACAAUGAGCUCUCGUACGAAGAACGUCAGAAGAGCCUCAGACGAAGAAAACGUUCUGCGCGUCGAUAGCGACUUAACUGGUGACACUCCGUCCUCCAACUACACUGAGGGAACACUGUGAUCUGAAUAUUUCGGUGACCCUGGUCCCUCAAGCUCAAUUGAAGAAGUCAUUGUGUGUUGAAGUGCCUAAUCUACUACAGUGUCAUUCAAGUUCAUCAGACACUGGUGCUCCUGGUACAGUAUACUGUUACCUGCUCUAAAACUGCUUUGUUGUAUUAGCAAGGGAACAGCAUGUAGAGGCACGAAAUUGUUCAGCUUAAUCUCUGUUGCUGUUGUAUCUAAUUUGUCAUCUGGGCAAUGCAUUUUGAUUCAAGCAUUAAAAAAAGGAAUAAUGUUCUUCUGCAUUGCACAUGUGCUCAACAAGAUCACCUGCAAGAACCGCACUCGCAUUGCUCUAAUACAGUUCUGUUGUGAAAAUCCAGUAGUUUAAGAAAACAACUCUCUUGUCAGGAAUACACCCGCAGGCCUGAUAGAUACCAGAAGUAUUGGUGCUGUACAUGA